UCAAAUUUGGGCAACCAAAAAAGUUUAUCUGUUCUCAUAUAGUCUUCGAUAGCUUAUAAAUAGCCUCAGUGAUGAUUUAACGUGUGAUACAGUUAGAAUUUAGGGCUCAAAACUCCGCGGUCAAGCAGCAGUUACGAAUGAUACCCCCAGGUUUUAAGCUCAGAUCAAGUUACAACAACAGAACGACGUUUUCCUGUUCUUGUGCAGCUUUCGAUAGCUUAUACAAGCCUCAGUGGAACCCCUGUAGCUGACCAAAAAGGCCAGGACUGCCAGAUGCCAUAUAUGAAUUGGGUAUGGGAUAGAGAGAAAUAUUGAGAUUCUAUUGGAGAAUUUGCAUACCCCUGCUUAUGCUACUCCUCACUAGGCCAACCAAAGCAGGCACACAAUUGUUCUCGUGCUGAGCUGACGGAUUCGUAACUGACAUUCUUUACUUAUAAUUCUCAGUAAUUUCACACUACUCACAAUUAUGUUUUACUUUCAGUUCAAGUUCUUCAAACAGAGCUGACCCAACAGAAGGCCUCUGGUGGCACACUGUAAUCAAGUGCGCCACUCCCACAGGAUUAUUGCAUUGGCCUUUUGCAUUCAUGCCUGAACGCUGUCCAGGGCAUCCCACAGGCACCAGCUGCAUGACGAUGCCCCACCCCACAGAUUGUCUUAUGCCAACAGCGUGCUCCCGUAGGGAACUAUAGACACUAGAAGAUGGACUGUGGACAUGCUAAGGAAUUCUUCAGUAGCUUCAUGGUGCACUGGAGAAGAAGCAGCAGACCUGGACGAAGUAAACAAACGGCCCUUAUCAGGGCCACCAUAUGUCUGCCACAAUGGCUAGCGUUCUGCUGGUAGAAGAAACCCUGAUGGUGAUAGAAGAUCACUGAAGUAACCAUAAUUCAAGCAUGAUGGCUACAACAGUGCUGAUAGAAAACAAUCAUUGCAGUUGUAAAUGCCAUACAUUUCACUAAGCACUGUAUUUUUGAUGACAGUAGUAUUUAGAGUUGAAGGAGUCAUGUUCUGCCACUUUUUGGAUGGUCAAAGUAUGCAUCACAGAACAUAUUGCUAAGGUGAACAGUAUGUGGAACCGACUAUAACUCCUGUUAUUCAUUCGCACAGAAAAUAUGAAGCAGAAAAUGUCGAGGUUGUUGCGAGAGACCUGUACUAUGUCUGUUCUAUGUCUUCACACACACAAAAGUGAGGUGGAGAAUGUACUGGACGCCUCCAUUUUUCCCCUUUCUCUCCGUACUGUAAAGGUAGUUCUUUUUGUGUAGUCCAAUAAUACGAGAAUUUGAAAAAAGGUC